rnacentral:rRNA from 1 species
UACAGAGGGUGCGAGCGUUAAUCGGAAUUACUGGGCGUAAAGCGUGCGUAGACGGCUAUCUAAGUCGGGUGUGAAAGCCCCGGGCUCAACCUGGGAAUUGCAUUCGAGACUGAAUAGCUAGAGUAUGGUAGAGGGUGGUGGAAUUUCCUGUGUAGCGGUGAAAUGCGUAGAUAUAGGAAGGAACACCAGUGGCGAAGGCGACCACCUGGACUGAUACUGACACUGAGGUGCGAAAGCGUGGGGAGCAAACAGG